CGGGUGAGUAAUGUAUGGGGAUCUGCCCGAUGGAGGGGGAUAACUACUGGAAACGGUAGCUAAUACCGCAUAACGUCGCAAGACCAAAGAGGGGGACCUUAGGGCCUCUUGCCAUCGGAUGUGCCCAGAUGGGAUUAGCUAGUAGGUGGGGUAAUGGCUCACCUAGGCGACGAUCCCUAGCUGGUCUGAGAGGAUGACCAGCCACACUGGAACUGAGACACGGUCCAG
rnacentral:rRNA from 1 species